AUGCGGCAGAUGGACUCAUGAUAUGGGCCUCAAUAGAGGGCUGGGUUCGCAGCUACGUAAAUCACUACUACCCAGACUCGGCCCGAGUUUGCAAUGACAGAGAACUCCAAGCCUGGUAUGCUGAGUCCAUUAACGUGGGCCAUGCAGACCUCCGCAAUGAAGAGUGGUGGCCCACAUUAGCUACUCCAGAGGAUCUCAUUUCGAUCCUCACCACCCUCAUCUGGCUAGCUUCAGCACAACAUGCUUCGCUGAAUUUCGGCCAGUACCCAUACGGUGGCUACGUCCCAAACCGGCCACCUCUCAUGCGUCGAUUAAUCCCUGAUGAAAAUGAUCCCGAAUAUGCAGUUUUUCAUGCUGAUCCGCAAAAGUAUUUCUUCUCAGCUCUACCCAGUUUGUUGCAAGCAACAAAGUUUAUGGCCGUGGUUGACACAUUAUCGACUCAUUCACCCGAUGAAGAAUACUUAGGAGAUAGACAUCAACAAUCUACCUGGACUGGGGAUGCAGUGAUUGUCGAAGCAUUCUAUGAUUUCUCAUCCGAAAUAAGGAUAAUAGAGAAGGAGAUAGAUGAGAGGAAUGCUGAUACGACACUAAGAAACAGGUGUGGUGCUGGUGUGCUACCAUAUGAACUAUUGGCACCAAGUUCUGGCCCUGGAGUAACAUGUAGAGGUGUUCCAAAUAGCGUAUCAAUAUGAGUAUAUAUAUAGUUAUGAUGCAUGUACAUAUAGUAUAGCCAAGCGUUUAUCAAGUCCACAAAAUAAUAGCGUGGACUGGUGAGUUUUCUGCGUAUAUUUUAAGAUCAAGAGGUAUGUUUGUAUCUAUAGUUUUUUGUAAGCACAUUAAAUCUAGCAAAGUCCUGUAAUAUAUGAAUAACGACAUUAAAUUUCUUUUAUAACAUGGAAUCCUGGAUUAUCCCAAAUUCCCUAUGUGCUUUAAGUUUUGAUU
rnacentral:lncRNA from 1 species